GACGAACGCUGGCGGCGUGCCUAAUACAUGCAAGUCGAGCGGACCUUCGGGGUUAGCGGCGGACGGGUGAGUAACACGUGGGUAAUCUGCCCAACUGACUGGAAUAACGCCUGGAAACGGGUGCUAAUGCCGGAUAGGCAACUGGUAGGCAUCUACCGGUUGGGAAAGGUGCAACUGCACCGCAGAUGGAGGAGCCCGCGGCGCAUUAGCUAGUUGGUGGGGUAACGGCCUACCAAGGCGACGAUGCGUAGCCGACCUGAGAGGGUGAACGGCCACACUGGGACUGAGACACGGCCCAGACUCCUACGGGAGGCAGCAGUAGGGAAUCUUCCGCGAUGGGCGCAAGCCUGACGGAGCAACGCCGCGUGAGCGAAGAAGGCCUUCGGGUUGUAAAGCUCAGUCACUCGGGAAGAGCGGACGAGGGAGUGGAAAGCCCUCGUCGAGACGGUACCGAGAGAGGAAGCCCCGGCUAACUACGUG
rnacentral:rRNA from 1 species